GGUUCGAUUAUGGCUCAGACGCUGGCGGGAUGCUUUUUCAUAUCGCAAGUCGAACGGCAGCACGGACUUCGGUCUGGUGAAGAGUGGCGAACGGGUGAGUAAUGUAUCGGAACGCCUAAGUAGCGGGGGAUAACUACGCGAAAGCGUAGCUAAUACCGCAUACCCUUCGGGGGAAAGCGGGGACCUUCGGGCCUCGCACUAUUAGAGCGGCCGAUAUCGGAUUAGCUAGUUGGUAGUAACGGCUCACCAAGGCGACGAUCCGUAGCUGGUUUGAGAGGACGACCAGCCACACCGGACCGAGACACGGCCCGACUCCUACGGGAGGCAGCAGUGUGAAUUUUGGACAAUGGGGGAAACCCUGAUCCAGCCAUCUCCGCGUGUGCGAUGAAGGCCUUCGGUUGUAAAGCACUUUUGCAAGUGAAAGAAACGGCACGGGAUAAUACCCGCAACUGACGGUAAUGCAGAAUAAGCACCGCCACCAUGCCAGCAGCUGCGGUAGGGUGCGCGUUAAUCGGAAUUACUGGGCGUAAAGCGUGUGCAGGCGGUUCGAAAGCAAAGAUGUGGAAAUCCCAGAGCCGAAUCUCGGAACUGCAUUUUUAAAUUACCGGGAGCUAGAGUGAAGCCAGAGGGAGGUGGAAUCGCGGGUAAAGGUGAAAUGCGUGGAUAUGCGAUGUUCAUCAUGGCGAAGGCAGCCUCCCGGGAUAACACUGACGCUCAUGCACGAAAGCGGGAGCAAACAGGAUUAGAUAAUUCAGAACACGCCCCAACGAUGUCAUUCAGGUUGCUAGCCUUCCGGGCCUGCAGUAGCUAAUGGCAAGCGGACCGCUCGGGGAGCACGUGAAGAUUAAAACUCAAAGGAAUUGACGGGGAUCUCGCCACAAGCGGUGAUGAUGUGGAUUAAUUUGAUAAACGAAACCCAGUUCUACCUUAUACAGCCUCGAACUCGAAGAGAUUGCAGUGUCGUGCAGGAACUUCUCAAACACAGGUGCCAAAGGGCUGGUCGCCGUCGUGUCGUAGAUGUUGGGUUAAGUCCCGCAACGAGCGCAACCCUUGCGGUCAUUAGUUGCAGCAUGAAAGGGCACUUAGAUCGAGAUUCGCUGCGACAAACCGGAGGAAGGUGGGUGAUGACGUCGUCCGCGUACCCUUGCGUGGCAGGGGCUUCAUUAUCGGGUCAUGGCGGUAAUGGUCGGGACAGAGGCCGCUAACCCGCGAGGGGAGCCAGAACCAGAAAACCGACUUAAACCGGGAUCGCAGUCUGCAACUCGACCGCGUGAAGCUCUGAAUCGCUAGUAACGCGAGAUCAGCAUGUCAGUGAAUACGUUCCCGGGUCUAAAGCCACACCUCCGCCCGUCACACCAUGGGCGGGUUUUACCAAAGAAGCAGUUGAAUCUAAACCGUAGUGAGGCACGUCGCAGAUGUGACUAGCAAGAUCGUAACAGGUAAUUCGUUACCACCAGCUCAUAUGCUGGAGUCUGGCCGUUAUU
rnacentral:rRNA from 1 species